CCUACGUGUGGCAGCAGUGGGGAAUAUCGCGCAAUGGGCGAAAGCCUGACGCAGCGACGCCGCGUGAGGGAUGAAGGUCUUCGGAUCGUAAACCUCUGUCAGCAGGGAAGAACGGUCACUGUGCUAAUCAGCAGGGAAUUGACGGUACCUGCAAAGGAAGCACCGGCUAACUCCGUGCCAGCAGCCGCGGUAAUACGGAGGGUGCGAGCGUUAAUCGGAAUUACUGGGCGUAAAGCGCUCGUAGGCGGUAUGUCAAGUCAAGGGUGAAAUCCCCGCGCUCAACGUGGGAACUGCCUUUGAAACUGGCAAACUGGAGUGUGUGAGAGGAUAGUGGAAUUCCAGGUGUAGGAGUGAAAUCCGUAGAUAUCUGGAGGAACAUCAGUGGCGAAGGCGACUAUCUGGCACAUAACUGACGCUGAGGAGCGAAAGCGUGGGUAGCAAACAGGAUUAGAUACCCCAGUAGUC
rnacentral:rRNA from 1 species